rnacentral:rRNA from 1 species
UGCUCGAAUGGCGAACGGGUGAGUAACACGUGGGUGAUCUGCCCUGCACUUCGGGAUAAGCUUGGGAAACUGGGUCUAAUACCGGAUAGGACCAUCGUUUAGUGUCGGUGGUGGAAAGUUUUUUCGGUGUGGGAUGAGCUCGCGGCCUAUCAGCUUGUUGGUGGGGUAAUGGCCUACCAAGGCGUCGACGGGUAGCCGGCCUGAGAGGGUGUACGGCCACAUUGGGACUGAGAUACGGCCCAG